rnacentral:rRNA from 1 species
UUGAAAACAGGUGCUGCACGGCUGUCGUCAGCUCGUGUCGUGAGAUGUUGGGUUAAGUCCCGCAACGAGCGCAACCCUCGUCCUUAGUUGCUAGCAGUUCGGCUGAGCACUCUAAGGAGACUGCCUUCGUAAGGAGGAGGAAGGUGAGGAUGACGUCAAGUCAUCAUGGCCCUUACGCCUAGGGCUACACACGUGCUACAAUGGGGUGUACAAAGAGAAGCAAUACUGUGAAGUGGAGCCAAUCUCUAAAACAUCUCUCAGUUCGGAUUGUAGUCUGCAACUCGACUACAUGAAGCUGGAAUCGCUAGUAAUCGCAAAUCAGCCAUGUUGCGGUGAAUACGUUCCCGGGUCUUGUACUCACCGCCCGUCACACCAUGGGAGUUGUAUUCGCCUUAAGUCGGAAUACUAAACUAGUUACCGCCCACGGCGGAUGCAGCGACUGGGGUGAAGUCGUAACAAGGUAACCGUAGGUGAACCUGCGGUUGGAUCACCUCCUUUC